rnacentral:rRNA from 1 species
UACGUAGGGCGCAAGCGUUGUCCGGAAUUAUUGGGCGUAAAGAGCUCGUAGGCGGCCUGUUGCGUCCGCUGUGAAAUCCCGGGGCUCAACCCCGGGCCUGCAGUGGAUACGGGCUGGCUGGAGGCAGGCAGGGGAGAACGGAAUCCUGGUGUAGCGGUGAAAUGCGCAGAUAUCAGGAGGAACACCGGUGGCGAAGGCGGUUCUCUGGGCCUGUUCUGACGCUGAGGAGCGAAAGCGUGGGGAGCGAACAGG